rnacentral:rRNA from 1 species
GUAGGGAAUCUUCCACAAUGGACGAAAGUCUGAUGGAGCAACGCCGCGUGAGUGAUGAAGGUUUUCGGAUCGUAAAACUCUGUUGUAAGGGAAGAACACGUACGAGAGGUAAUGCUCGUACCUUGACGGUACCUUACGAGAAAGCCACGGCUAACUACGUGCCAGCAGCCGCGGUAAUACGUAGGUGGCAAGCGUUGUCCGGAAUUAUUGGGCGUAAAGCGCGCGCAGGCGGCCUUUUAAGUCUGAUGUGAAAGCCCCCGGCUCAACCGGGGAGGGCCAUUGGAAACUGGAAGGCUUGAGUACAGAAGAGAAGAGUGGAAUUCCACGUGUAGCGGUGAAAUGCGUAGAGAUGUGGAGGAACACCAGUGGCGAAGGCGACUCUUUGGUCUGUAACUGACGCUGAGGCGCGAAAGCGUGGGGAGCAAACAGGAUUAGAAACCCUGGUAGUCC